GCUGGUUUCAUAUGGUGUCUUAGA
rnacentral:miRNA from 17 species